UUAGAUGCCAUCACAAUCCAGAUUCUCAGUUCAGUAAAAACUGCCAAGGUUUUCAUAUGACCCUCCAUCUGCCACUGAGGAACUGAAUCAGGAGACAGACAGAUAAAUUUUGAAUAAGGAAGAUAGCAAGAGAAAAUGCAGAGAGAAUUCCAUGAAGCGGCUUUUCAGGUUGGAACUCCACAGAGCAAUGGCAGAUUAGUUGACACGUCUGAGUUUGAGAGGAAAAUGGAAUGAAGCACAUCACAACAGAAAGAAGAUGUACCACGAUCCUUUUUAAGACAGCUUCCGGCCACGUGAAUCACUGAAACUUCACUGAGCAUCACAAUUACUUCCUAAUCAAAUUUACCCAUGGGUAACCCUCAAAACAUUGAAGGACUGGGACAGCCUGAGCCCUGAAUGAAGGCUGGGGCUUGAAGGUCCCACUAUGUGCCAGGUGUUAACCCUUGAGGUGAUGGAUUCAGGUGUCUAGAUGUUCCUGAGCAGAGGCCGGCAUUGGGCACCAGUGUGGCUUGCACGAGUAUUUCAACAUUCUAGCCAUGGUGCUGUCUCUGCAUACACCUGCAUCCCAUCAUCCCUGCGUAUAGCCUGUGCCUCUCUCUAAAUGGUCUAAGACACAACAGAAAACAAAUAUCAGAUGAUCUUAAUUUUGUACCUGCUGUGUUUCUUAUGCAAUUAUGUAGUUAACUGCAUUGUUUUCCUUGUGUGAAAUAAUCUUUCCCACCUUCAGUAAAGAUUUCAUGAACACACAGUGAUUGUGAAAGCUUCCUGAAGGAAGGAAUCUGUCAUCUAAAAAUAUCAUAAUUACUACUCUCUAGUAUGGUCUUUGAAAGAUUCUUAAAGAAUUUUUGUCAUGUAACUUUCCUGACACAGUCAUUAAAAAUGCACAUACUUAGCUGGAUUCAGAUUCGAAAGUUAUAA